GUACACUCCUGCGGGAGGCAGCAGUGGGGAAUUUUGGACAAUGGGGGCAACCCUGAUCCAGCAAUGCCGCGUGAGUGAAGAAGGCCUUCGGGUUGUAAAGCUCUUUUGUCAGGGAAGAAACGGUGGUGGCGAAUAACUACUACUAAUGACGGUACCUGAAGAAUAAGCACCGGCUAACUACGUGCCAGCAGCCGCGGUAAUACGUAGGGUGCAAGCGUUAAUCGGAAUUACUGGGCGUAAAGCGUGCGCAGGCGGUUGUGUAAGUCAGAUGUGAAAUCCCCGGGCUCAACCUGGGAAUUGCAUUUGAGACUGCACUGCUAGAGUGUGUCAGAGGGGGGUAGAAUUCCACGUGUAGCAGUGAAAUGCGUAGAUAUGUGGAGGAAUACCGAUGGCGAAGGCAGCCCCCUGGGAUAACACUGACGCUCAUGCACGAAAGCGUGGGGAGCAAACAGGAUUAGAAACCCUGGUAGUCCC
rnacentral:rRNA from 1 species